rnacentral:sRNA from 1 species
UUUGUUCCAGGUUCCCAGCCCGGCGAGUUCACGCUGGGCAACACUAAGGGUUACCCGGGAUUAACGAGUUACCUCGUCCGAGUGGUGAGCACCAACUACAACCAGUAUGCCAUGGUGUUCUUCAAGAAAGUUUCUCAAAACAGGGAGUACUUCAAGAUCACCCUCUACGGGAGAACCAAGGAGCUGACUUCGGAACUAAAGGAGAACUUCAUCCGCUUCUCCAAAUCUCUGGGCCUCCCUGAAAACCACAUCGUCUUCCCUGCCCCAAUCGACCAGUGUAUCGACGGCUGAGUGCACAGUGAGUAUGACUGGGCGGCUGUGAGGGGGCUUGUGGGAGGCCAGGGUGCAGCGGGCUGGGGGUCUUGGGCCUGCCUUUGCUCUUCCCCCUGCCCCCCAGCACUGCUGCUGUCUUUAUUCUGCUGUCCCCAUCUCGGGUGCCUCCCAUUUCCCCGCCCAUCACCCUCAUAUCCACCUCUGUCCAGGGUGCCACCAGCUGCCGCACCAGCCCGGACACCAUUGAAGGAGCUGGGAGACCCUCCCCACAGUGCUACCCACCCAGCUGCUCCCCAGGCCACCCCACUGAUGGAGCCCCACCUUGUCUGCUAAAUAAACAUGAACCCCCAGA